rnacentral:misc_RNA from 1 species
AUGCCUUUGUUGUAUUCACCAUUUGUUCAUUUUGUCAGUUGGUGCUUAAACUUUUGGCUUAGAGCGUGUUGCUAAUGAUUGUUUGUUGUUUUUCAAUAAAUAUGUUUUUCAUUCUUUAAAGUCUAAUCUUGCUGAACUUCAUGUUGAUCUAGAGCAAUUUUCAUGUUCAGAAAUUUGUCUAUACUUAUUGAAUUAUAGUAUUGUGUGAUAAAUUUUUGAAUGUAGCCUUUUUCUGAGAAUAAGUGAUUAAUUUUCAAAAGAUAGCUUUGGGAAAGGGGAAACUUAUUUGAUGAAAAGUGACAACAGGCAAACAUAAUUCUGGAAUAUUUGGUUAGUUGAUGAUCAUACAACAUAAAAGUCUUUUGAUGCAGUUUUCAGCAUGGCUAAUUAAUUGUAUUUAUCCAGUCUUUGUAUGUGGUUGAUUUCAUAGUUUAUGUUUUAGAAAUGAAUUUAUUAAGCAUAUUGGUUGAGUUUUUAGUUGAUAUGAUAUUAGUAUUCUUUUUAUUCAACUGCUUCUCUAAAAAAUGUUCUCUUCCAACUUUUUAAAAGUGCAGGAAGUGUUAUGUCUAUAAGGUUUUGCACCUUUUAUCUAAUAUCUCAACAACAAGAACCUUUUCUGUUUCUUCUUAAAAUUUUGUAUCGUCGAUCCUUCAGAUCAGUAGUUUUCUUAUUUUAGGAGUUAGAUGGCUGUAGCAUGGUUGACGUUUUACUGUGAAGUACAAUUAUAUGAGCAACUCUUGUGAUGCAUACCUUGCAAAAUAUUGCACAGAUUCUAAG